rnacentral:rRNA from 1 species
AGAGUUUGAUCCUGGCUCAGGACGAACGCUGGCGGCGUGCUUAACACAUGCAAGUCGAGCGAGAAAGGGACCUUCGGGUCCCGAGUACAGCGGCGAACGGGUGAGUAUUAUGUGGGUAACCUGCCCCAAGGAUCGGGAUAACACCGGGAAACCGGUGCUAAUACCGGACGUUCUUGCAUUGCGCAAGCGAUGCAAGCAAAGGUAGCUUCGGCCUCCGCCUUGGGAUGGGCCCGCGGCCUAUCAGCUUGUUGGUGAGGUAAUGGCUCACCAAGGCUACGACGGGUAGCUGGUCUGAGAGGAUGAUCAGCCACACUGGGAUUGAGAUAUGGCCCAGACUCCUACGGGAGGCAGCAGUGGGGAAUCUUGCGCAAUGGGCGAAAGCCUGACGCAGCAACGCCGCGUGGAGGAAGAAGGCCUUCGGGUUGUAAACUCCUGUCAGGGGGGAAGAAGGCACCUGGGUUAAUAGCCCAAGGGCUGACGGUACCCCCAGAGGAAGCCACGGCUAACUACGUGCCAGCAGUCGCGGUAAUACGUAGGUGGCGAGCGUUGUCCGGAAUUAUUGGGCGUAAAGAGCGCGUAGGCGGCUUGCCAGGUCUGAUGUGAAAUCUUGGGGCUCAACCCCAAGCGUGCAUCGGAAACCGGCUUGCUAGAGUCUGGGAGAGGAGAGUGGAAUUCCUGGUGUAGCGGUGAAAUGCGUAGAUAUCAGGAGGAACACCAGUUGCGAAGGCGGCUCUCUGGAACAGUACUGACGCUGAGGCGCGAAAGCUAGGGGAGCAAACAGGAUUAGAUACCCUGGUAGUCCUAGCCGUAAACGAUGGACACUAGGUGUCGGGAGUGUCGACUCUCCCGGUGCCGAAGCUAACGCAUUAAGUGUCCCGCCUGGGGAGUACGGCCGCAAGGCUAAAACUCAAAGGAAUUGACGG